GGGCCGCUAGCUCAAUUGGUAGAGCAAGAGACUCUUAAUCUCUGGGUUGAGGGUUCGAGUCCCCCGCGGCUCACCA
rnacentral:tRNA from 1 species